AGGCAGCCACGUGGCAGUGGGAGCCAGGCUGGAGUCCGCUGGUGGAAGACAGGACACAGGCUGGAAAGGCAGGUGCUGGGGGCAGGAGCUCGGGCUGCGGGGAAUCGGCACAAAAAUAAGACAGCAGGCUGGGGAGAAGGCCCCUCCCCAUACGAAAUCAUCCCUAAGAUUCCAAAGGCCUGGAAAACACCUCGCUAGGAGAAGCUUCAUGGAUCAGGCCAGGUCCAGCACCCAGACAGGCAGGGGCCGAGCAGGGCAGGGCUGGGCAGGCUGGGCCAGCACCAGCCUAGGAAGCCCCCUCUCCAAAGCCCUGUCCUGUGCCCCUCUGGCCCUGGGCUAGCAAGUCUGAGCAUCUGGGGUCAAGGCGGAUCGCUGGGGACCAGGCACCUGGAAUGAGACAGAGGGGCAGUGCUGUGUGGGCCUCCCCAGGGACAGAACAUGGAGUGGGAGCUGCGCAUGGAGCCCCCGCUUGGGCAGCUCUGCAGGCCUCCAGGCCACCAAGGCAGCCAGCACAGUGGUCCUGGCAGGAGGGUGAGAGGGCGGCACAUUCCAGCCACAGCCCACCUCUCCUCCCAGGAUGCCUGGGGAAGUGCAGGAAGAGCCCUGUGGGGGCGGGGAUGGGAGCUCGGGCCAUCUUUGGAAAGAGGCUGUUAAGAGAAGGGAACAAGAUGGGGCUGCAGGCCAUUCCCUCCCCAUGACAAUGAGAGAGCUGCAGCCACAGUCCAUGCGGCCCCCUGUGCCUUCAGCAUCCAGCCUGCUGCGACUUUGAGGAUGAUGGCAGCUGAGGGUUCAUCGGGGCCAGGCUGUGUCCCAGGAGGCAUGGACUUGCUGGAGCUCAGCUGGUCAACUUCCAGGAGGCUCUGACCACCACCAAGUUCCAGCCAUGAGGGUCUCCUCCUCAGCCAGGGGCACCCAACCCCUUGGGAAAGGAAGGGCUAGGCAGCUCCCACACCCUCCUCACCCCAGGACGAGCCUGUAGAGAAGAGCAGCUGUGUUUUCAGCUAGAGCCAUGGGCAUGAGGGGUCCAGGGAAAGGGCUGUCCGGACAAGCCACCUGCAGUGCCCACGGCCCAGCCUGAGGCAGCUCACUCCCACCCCAGCCCCCGCCCAGGCCUGAGCCCACCGGCUGUUGGCCAGGCCCGAAUGGCCAAGAUCGAUGAGUGCCCAGCACACGAGCCUUGUUUACCAGGCUGUACUGUGUCUGCUCAGCAUCAGGGCCUCCCACUGAAGCCCUCCCACACCCUCACACCCUUGCCUGCACCCUGUGCCCUGAACCUGCCAUGCACAGCCCUGGCCACCCCAGCACAUGGGGUCCAGUCUGAAGCAGUUGCCCAUGAGGGCUGCCCCAGGCUGAAGCCCAGGCCCACGCCACAGCUGAGGUGAGCGGGAUCUUCCACCAGGAAGCCCCAGCCUUCCAGAAGGGAGGUCUUGGAGCUCCAGGACAGCAACCCAGGACUGCCAGCACUCACAAAGCAGCAAGGGGGAGGAGCUCACUGGGUUCCCAAGGGCUGCGGGAGGGUGAAGAGGUGACCCAGUUGUGGGGCAGGGGGAGUUUGGCUGGCAUGGCCACCUCAGGCCCUGCAGGCCACCCUGAUCACCUGGGGAACCCAGGUCCCCGAGUAUGGGCCAAGGGGCAAGGUGGGUGGUGCUCACCAUGAUGGUCCCAGGUGCUCACUGCUGCAGGGACAGAGGAAGUGAGCCUGGACAUGGGACUCAGCCAGCUGGGGUCCUCAUGGCAGUGUGGGGCAGCCUGGGGGCCAGGCCUGUCCAACUCCUGGUUGUCAGGGGACGUCAGGGCCUAACGGGCUGUGGGGAGAGCCUGGCCUGGGGCUGGGGAUGGCAGAGCUCUGAGUGUAGGAGCUGCUGCCCCAUCCAGCAAGCUGGACCAUGGACAACAGGCGGAGGUCCCUGCAGGGAGCGUGGCAGGACGGGGUGUGCAGACAGGUGCUGCCCUGCAGCUAAGCCUGACUUCCCUGCUUGCCCUGGAGCCUGGCAGGGUUCUGGAGACCAGGAGCCACCACACAGUCCUAGGCCACUUCUACUUUGGGGGAGUAAGUGAAAUUUAGAGCUCUUCACACCAGUCCGUGGCCCAGUCAGGGCAAGGUGGGGCCCACCCUGCCAACCGUGGCUGCAGACACCCAGAGCUCAGAGCCGUGGCUGGGGCCUGGGGUCUUGAAUGUGAAGAUGCGGCUGGCCUGGCAGGGCCUCAGCUGGUGCCUGGCACCGUCCCGGGCCCUGGCCUAGGUGCUCGGUGGACUGCUCCUUCCUAGUGCCAGGUCCACUUGCAGCUCCUGGGAGCUGCCCCGGGAGCUCAGCCCUGGGUGCCCCUGGCUCUCCCAGCUCAGUGUUUCACUAUGAUCAAUCAGGGUAUCGCCAGGAAGGGUCAGGGCUGCCACCUCCCUGGGCCACCUGGACCGAAAGCUGGGAGAGGCUGCCACAGACCACCUGGGUAGGUGGUCCACAGGGGCCCUUCUCACCCUGGGCCAGGUCUACAGCCUGUGUUUAGUCUGGGGUGGGGUGGGGUGGGGGGCUUUGCUGCUUCACUGCACCCCACAUGAGCCCUGUUGGGAGGGCUGCCAGAUGCAGGGAGACGCAGAGGCGCGGGUACACAUUGCUCCACCAGCCAGACCCAGAGCUUCCUAGUGGGGACCAGUCUGGAGCUUGAAAUCCCAGCCAUCACUCAAGGGGUUUCACUUGUGCCAACACCUUUCUUUUGGAGGGGGUGUGUUGGGGGUGUCCAGUGACAGGGUUAAUCCCCACAGUCCAUGAGGCCAGUGAUGUCAUGGGCUCCUGGGGCCCAUGGCACUGAGACCAGGUCCAGCACGAAUUCACCUGCCCUUCCUUCAGUGCCUUCCAACACCACCCAGCCACCACGGCCAGGCUGGAAGGACAGCACACCCCAGCCACUCAGGAGUCACUUCGGACAGCCCACCUAGGGGCUUAAGUCCCAGUGGGACAUGCCCACCCAGGCUGCCUCAGCUGCCCACGGGGCCUCCAACCACAGCCACAGGCUCCACAGGAAAACCCAACACGAUGACUGCCCCUCGCAGGCCACAGUCAGCCCGGCCCCAGGAGAGAGACCCGUGGAGCCCUAUGUCUCAGCAGGCAAGACCACCCUGGCCUGCCAUGCCUCCAUCCUAUGCCUAUAAAAACCCAAGACCCUAGCAAGGCAGAGACAGAAGCCUCUGUGUGGGGAGAGGAACACACUGGUGGAAGAAGACAAGCUGCUGGACAUCCCGAGAAUGUUGCCUGACUCCAGGGGAAAACCAUCUCCCCUCUGGCUCCCCCAUCUGCUGAGAGCUACUUCCACUCAAUAAAACCUUGCACUCAUUCUCCAA